GUGGCUAUGAGAGGGGAGAAGGUUAGCACUCCCCCGGAGAAGGACGGAAGAGGUCCUGGUGACCUUUACAACACACAUGUGGUUAAGGCAUUGCCACCUGCUUCGUGGCAUCUAACCUAAUUUA